GACGAAGGGGGCUAGCGUUGUUCGGAAUUACUGGGCGUAAAGCGCGUGUAGGCGGUUGUCCAAGUUGGAUGUGAAAGCCUUGAGCUCAACUCAAGAAGUGCAUUCAGGACUGGAUGACUAGAGGACCGGAGAGGAUAGUGGAAUUCCCAGUGUAGUGGUGAAAUACGUAGAGAUUGGGAAGAACACCAGUGGCGAAGGCGGCUAUCUGGACGGUUUCUGACGCUAAGACGCGAAAGCGUGGGGAGCAAACAGG
rnacentral:rRNA from 1 species